ACUCCUACGGGAGGCAGCAGUGGGGAAUAUUGCACAAUGGGCGCAAGCCUGAUGCAGCCAUGCCGCGUGUGUGAAGAAGGCCUUCGGUUGUGAAAUGCAACUUUCAGUCGUGAGGAAGGUAGUGUAGUUAAUAGCUGCAUUAUUUGACGUUAGCGACAGAAGAAGCACCGGCUAACUCCGUGCCAGCAGCCGCGGUAAUACGG
rnacentral:rRNA from 1 species